GCCAGGUGUGGUGGCGGGCGCCUGUAAUCCUAGCUACUUAGGAGGCUGAGGCAGGAGAAUCACUUGAACCCGGGAACGCGGAGAUUGCAGUGAGCUGAGAUCAUGCCACUGGACUCCAGCCUGGGCAACAGAGUGAGACUCCGUCUCAC
rnacentral:SRP_RNA from 1 species